UACAGAGGGUGCGAGCGUUGUCCGGAAUCACUGGGCGUAAAGGGCGCGUAGGUGGCCCGACAAGUCCGUGGUGAAAGCUCGACGCUCAACGUCGAGUCGGCCAUGGAUACUGUGGGGCUGGAGCACUGUAGAGGCUCAUGGAAUUCCGGGUGUAGCGGUGGAAUGCGUAGAGAUCCGGAAGAACACCGGUGGCGAAGGCGGUGAGCUGGGCAGUGAGCUGACACUGAGGCGCGACAGCGUGGGGAGCAAACAGG
rnacentral:rRNA from 1 species